GUAAUUUUUAAAAAUCGCAAAACAUUAACAUACAGUUUUUUAAGCUGCUUUUUUCCCUUACAAGUAUAAGGAACACUUUCUUGUCUCAUACAAUACCAUUUUUAGUGACACCCUCAGAGUAUUCCAUUGUAUAAAGGAUUAAUAACUUAUCCAACUAGCCAUCUAUAAAUAGAUAUUUGGGCUAUUACGUUUUAGCAGAAAAAAAAUAUGUACAGCACUUCUAUCCAAAUUGCUAGGCAUGCUUUCUAACUUCAUUUUGUUAUUUGUUUUUCAGGUUAUUUUUUAAGAAAAACAUCAAUGAAUAAAUUUUCUUAGUCAGCUAAAGACUGGAUUUGUUGAGUGCCUCAAACUUACAAGAACGCAGAACCAGUGAAGAUUCUUGAGAAGAGCAGUUACUUUCUCCAGCUGUGAAGGUUAUAGCCAUACAGGGGCAAGGAGUCAAGCAGAUUUUAACUACUGAAGGAAGACUAAAGACCCUUUACCAACUAGACUAUGGGAUUCUUAAAGCUGAACGGCCACAGGCCUCUCCCAGACUACCAAAGGAAGA
rnacentral:lncRNA from 1 species